GGGGGCGAACUAGAUUCGACGGGGAUAGUGGGUCGUCAGAUAGCGGGCCGAGCUCCGGACGCUCGAAAAACAGCCGGAACCCAAUAAGUGCCAACGACACUGCUGAAUACGCUUUAGCUGCUUAAUGCGGCUGACGUUCCGGUUCGCCGCUCCCACCGGGGAGCCGAGAACGUAAAAACCGUGGGAUAUCCGACCGAUAGGCCCGGAUCGGCCGGAGAAACGAGGGCUGGUCCGUCCACAGCGUGCUCUGUGCGCGGUGGCCGGACGAGACGAAUACACAGGGCUACGCUCGUAGAAGUCUGACGGGUCGCAUCUUCGGACGGGACGGGCAGUACGUCCCCGCCUCCACCA
rnacentral:tmRNA from 1 species